ACAAAUCUUUCAAAAAUUUGGCAUAAGCAGGGACCUAUUUGAUUGUAUCUAGAAGGGGAAGAUUAAUUUGGACUUGCUUAAACAAUUCCAACAUCUCAUCGAGUUUUCCUCCCUUCUUAUCUACAGGAAUAGGGGCUUUCAGGACAUCCGAAAAUGGGGCUUUAGGCAAGUAAGAUGAUUCCGAUGCAGUUGGUUCAUUCUCUAUUUUCAAGUCCUCCUUGUUCUUGGGUGAUUUGACUUCGAUUAGAGGUUUAGGGAUGGUCUCAUUGGUUUUACUAGUGUGUUCAAUGACCUUUCCACUUCUCAGACUCAUGAUUGAUUUGGCGUGUUCAGAAAAAGCUUUUGGGGUAUUAGAGCUUUCAAUCACAAAUUGCCCUCUUGGGUUGCUUUUGGGUUGGCUAGAUAAUUUUUCUCCUCCCCUCCUACUGAAUGCAAUUGCUAGUUGACCUAUUUGGGUCUCUAGCUUAGCAAUGGAUUGUGUGUGGGAGUUAAGGAUCUGAGUGUUGACUUCUAAUCGUUCUAGUAUUUUCAGAACUUUUUUCUCAAAAGCUGAGCUAUGACCAGUAGUAGACGGUUGAGGAGCAUUUUGAAAUUGAUGGUAUGGUCCAUGCCUAUAUGUUGGGUCCUGAUAUUGAGGUCGAGGUGUGGCAGGGCCAACCACUGGUUAUGGUCUCCAGAAAAAAUUUGGAUGGUUUCUCCAGCCGGGGUUAUAAGUGUUCGAAUAUG
rnacentral:lncRNA from 1 species